CUUUCCUGGAGAAACGAGGGAGAUUUGGAUGGAACUGGAUUUCCCAAAACGGUGUUAAUGAGAAUAAAAGUCUUCUCCCACCUAAACCUGGCUGAUCAUCGUACAUCUGGUUUGAGAUUAUUUUGUCAUUCAGGAAGCUCUACUGAAUCUUAUUCUUUAGUACAUGCUCAUUGACCUGUUCAGAAAUUGGAGACCAUUCUCUGGAAUCCCACUGUAGGAACAGGGAAAAUACGGGAACCUAACAGUUAUCGCUGUAGCAACCAGCUGGGCCAGGUGGACCCUGGUUGAACCUCACCUCUGCUGCAUUGAGUAUCUGUCACCACGCAGCUUCUCAGCUGCCUCCACGUUGGAGUAUGGAAACCCACUCAACUAUUCUGGUGGAUGUGCAGGCAU